UACAGAGGUCCCGAGCGUUGUUCGGAUUCAUUGGGCGUAAAGGGUGCGUAGGCGGUUUUCUAAGUUUGAUGUGAAAUCCCCGGGCUUAACCUGGGAAUUGCAUUUGUGACUGCACGGCUAGAGUGUGUCAGAGGGGGGUAGAAUUCCACGUGUAGCAGUGAAAUGCGUAGAUAUGUGGAGGAAUACCGAUGGCGAAGGCAGCCCCCUGGGAUAACACUGACGCUCAUGCACGAAAGCGUGGGGAGCAAACAGG
rnacentral:rRNA from 1 species